GCGUAGGUGCUAUUGAUGGCACCCAUAUUCAUGCUACCGUACCUGAACAUAUGCAAUCACGAUUUAGAGGUAGAAAAGGCAGAACUACUCAGAACGUGUUGUGUGUGUGUUCCUUUGAUAUGCGAUUUACUUUUGUGUAUGCUAGUUGGGAAGGAUCAGCCAACGAUUGUCGGGUGUUGUCGGCUGCACUUGGCACACCUCACCUACAAUUUCCUCGACCGCCCCGCAGUACUACGUCGUCGAUUCUGGUUAUGCUUCAAGUCCAGGAUUUUUAACACAAUUUAAAGGCGAACGGUAUCAUAUACCAGAAUUUCGACGAAGUGGGGGACCAACAACAGCAAAGGAAUUGUUCAACCACAGGCAUUCUUCAUUAAGGAAUAUCAUUGAGAGAUCCUUUGCGGCUUUAAAGAAUCGUUUUUUUGUUUUGAGACAGAUGCCUCCAUUUAAAUUUGAAAAACAAAUACAGAUUGUAAUUGCAUGCUGUGCGAUCCAUAACUACAUCAUUGAGCAAGAUAGGAUGGAUAAGUGUUUGUCCAUAUAUGGAGAUCCGGAUUAUGUGUGUGAACCUACUGAACAGGGUACAGACGAUGUAGCAACGAUCGAAGAGGGAACCGAGACGAACAUUAUUAGGAAACGUAUUGCCAAUAAAAUGGCUAGGGAUAAUCAUAUGCCGGAGAUUCCAUGAAGUUCGGUUUUCCACUA